GGAACCUUUGGGAGCAGGCUGUGGGUAGCCCGUUGCAAGAUCUGGCCUCCCUCAGAGGUUUGGUGCCAGGCGUGGCAUGCUGCCAUUGGCCUGCUUCCGAGGGAGUGCCAUCCACUCCUCGGCCUGCUGUGGUCCACACCGAGGACGGAAGGGCAGCGGGGAGAAGCCACGGGAGCGAUCCAAGCGCCGAGAUGAUGUAUGUGCGCAUCCAGCGAAAGAACAAAACGCCACCCAAACAAUCCUCUCCCUUGUGAAAUCGGAGGCUUGAGGCUGGCCUGGGGAUGUGCUCCCCGAACCAAGAAAGAAGGACAAGAAAAAAAGAAAGGCCUGAAAAAAUACACAUGUACACAAAUACACAAAAGCUCCUCCUUCCGGAUCCCAAAAGGCAUGCCUCGCUGCUCUUGGGAGAGGCUCAGGCUAGACACAAGCCGUGCCGGUCCCUGCCAGCCGCUGCCCUUCCACUGCCAGCUGUCAAGCAGGAGGAGGAAGACUGAACAGGAAGAGAUGGGAAUAUUAGGAAGCCAUGCUCUCUAGUGUCCCCCAAAACGAAGCCCAGCAGCCAGAGGGAAGAGCCAUUCCCCGAUAUUUGUUGUUUCCCCUGUGAAGCCCUAAAAUACCUGUGGGCAGCAGAGGGGCUGCCCUACCGGCGAUGGAGAUGGAAGGAGCACUGAGCUAUUGCCUGGGACACAUACUCCCUGGGUGGCCCCCGGGAAAGUCAUCGAAUGCUCAAGCGGUUUCCCCAUCUGCAAAGUGGGAAUAAGAACAACACUUAGGUCCUGCUUACUUGACAGGGUCUGUGUGAGGCCAGCUGAGCUCACUGAGCAACGUGGCAAGGCUUCGGGAGUGGCAAAGGGCCACCCAGAUCGAGGGCGCGGCACCGUAGUGCUUAUGGUGAUUAGCAGCAAAGCGGGUCCUGAGGUCUGCGCUCCCCCUGGGAGGGUGGCUUUACAGGCACCCACCUGUGGCUUAAGAUCUUCUUGGGCCUCCCACGGCUGAUAAAUCACCGCCUGGUAGGUGUGCUUUGUCUGGGCUGCAGCAGGAACAGACAGCCUGCCCUUGGUUGCUGCGGGGGAGAGUGCUCCACUGCCUUCUGCGCCUCCUCUGCCUUCCUCAGUGGGCUGAGAAGAAGCAAGCGCCUUAUCUAUUGGGCUUUCCUGAGGAACCCGCCACCUACCCAUAUGGACACUGGUGAUGCCGAGUCUCUUUCUCGAUCCACACAAUCAUCGGGGUGCUGAUUUAGGUGUCUCCAGCCAUGUGGUUUGUCACUGUCUUGCCACAAAUGGAGAUGCCCAGAGGAACGUCAGAUUGUAUCUCGUGGCGCGGUUUACCAGGAGGCGCUCAACAGUCGUUGAAUAUACAAACUGUCAUAUCUUUGUUUUGUUCCAAAAUAUCCCACAUAUCCGUUGAAAGGAGGCACCUUGAGACUUGAGGGGACCUCUCUGGUGGGGUGGUACACAUCUGGUGAGUGCUUUCGCCUUGGCCAGUGCUGUGCUAAGUGGAUUGGGUACAGUCCUUGCUCUCGUAAAGCCAGCCU
rnacentral:lncRNA from 1 species